GUUUCAUAUGUGGACGGAUCACACGCUCUCAACUCUUGGACUGUGUACUUUAUCUAAAGAAUGUAAUAAGAAAAUUAUUUGGGGUUUUAAGAUUUAUUUCCAAAACCUGUAGAAAACAAGAUAUAACGUGUGUCUCUAUCAGGCUGCUGUCUCUGGGAAUUAUGUCUCGACAAAAGCAGAAUUUGCUGUGGCUGAUGAUCAUCUGUUGUGCUACGUGCCAGAUAACAAGUUCAGAAAACUCGACAGAUCAGUGUUUCUGGAACAGCAGUAGCUCAACACAAGGUAGAUGUGAAAUAUAUGGCUAACUUGACUGUGUGAAAGCAUAUUUAUUAUCUGUGACGACUGAAACUCACUGAGUUCAUUUCUGUUUUUCACUUAGUUAUUGAAUGGACCUGUCCAUCAGUUGAUGAAAAAAUGAAUCAGGAAGAUGAGGAUGAAGGUGUUGAACCCUCAGAAGCAUCGUAAGUGUGCGAUUACCUGUGACUUCAGGUAACUCUACUACAGAGAACCAAGUGAUUAAAUACAUUUUUUGCAGAGACGCCUUGGACGAACUGGAGUCUGACAUGGAAGAAAUGGAAAAUAACAAUAUAAGCAAUGCAUCAUAUCAUCAAAUCAGAACACGAUAAACGUAAGGCCUGAGAAAGAUUACAGCAUGUCUAAGUUAGGAUUCUUUAUUAAUCAAGGUACAUUUUCUUUUCACAGGAUGUUGACUGUCAAAGUAUCCCAAAUACAAACUUUUCAUGGGCUGUAAAGAUUCCCAAGGAAGCAGUGUAUAAAUCACGACGGGAAAACAAUGGAUGUGCGUUUGUUGCAGUUCUACGGUUCAUAAAUAUGAGAAACAAGGUACUCACAAU
ensembl:lncRNA